rfam:Klebsiella sp. RIT-PI-d NODE_10_length_41620_cov_44.2908_ID_19, whole genome shotgun sequence.
GUCUGUACGUUUCCAUCCGAGUAUCCUGAAAACGGGCUUUUCAGCAUGGUGCGUACAUAUUAAAUAGUAGGAGUGCAUAGUGGCCCGUAUAGCAGGCAUUAACAUUCCUGAU